rnacentral:rRNA from 1 species
GGGCCCGCACAAGCGGCGGAGCAUGCGGAUUAAUUCGAUGCAACGCGAAGAACCUUACCUGGGUUUGACAUAUACCGGAAACAUCCAGAGAUGGGUGCCCCGCAAGGUCGGUAUACAGGUGGUGCAUGGCUGUCGUCAGCUCGUGUCGUGAGAUGUUGGGUUAAGUCCCGCAACGAGCGCAACCCUCGUUCUAUGUUGCCAGCGGUUCGGCCGGGGACUCAUAGAAGACUGCCGGGGUCAACUCGGAGGAAGGUGGGGAUGACGUCAAGUCAUCAUGCCCCUUAUGUCCAGGGCUUCACGCAUGCUACAAUGGCUGGUACAGAGGGCUGCAAUAUCGCAAGAUGGAGCGAAUCCCACAAAGCCAGUCUCAGUUCGGAUUGGGGUCUGCAACUCGACCCCAUGAAGUCGGAGUCGCUAGUAAUCGCAGAUCAGCAACGCUGCGGUGAAUACGUUCCCGGGCCUU